AGGACGAACGCUGGCGGCGUGCUUAACACAUGCAAGUCGAGCGGAAAGGCCCUUCGGGGUACUCGAGCGGCGAACGGGUGAGUAACACGUGAGCAACCUGCCCUUAGCUCCGGGAUAGCUCCGGGAAACCGGAAUUAAUACCGGAUAUGACCUAGGCCGACAUCGGCUGUGGUGGAAAGUUUUUCGGCUGGGGAUGGACUCGCGGCCUAUCAGCUUGUUGGUGGGGUAAUGGCCUACCAAGGCGACGACGGGUAGCCGGCCUGAGAGGGCGACCGGCCACACUGGGACUGAGACACGGCCCAGACUCCUACGGGAGGCAGCAGUGGGGAAUCUUGCGCAAUGGGCGAAAGGCCUGACGCAGCGACGCCGCGUGGGGGAUGAAGGCCUUCGGGUUGUAAACCCCUUUCAGCAGGACGAAGCGAAAGUGACGGUACCUGCAGAAGAAGCGCCGGCUAACUACGCGCAGCAGCCGC
rnacentral:rRNA from 1 species